GAUGAACGCUGGCGGCGUGCCUAAUACAUGCAAGUCGAGCGAACAGACGAGGAGCUUGCUCCUCUGACGUUAGCGGCGGACGGGUGAGUAACACGUGGAUAACCUACCUAUAAGACUGGGAUAACUUCGGGAAACCGGAGCUAAUACCGGAUAAUAUAUUGAACCGCAUGGUUCAAUAGUGAAAGACGGUUUUGCUGUCACUUAUAGAUGGAUCCGCGCCGCAUUAGCUAGUUGGUAAGGUAACGGCUUACCAAGGCAACGAUGCGUAGCCGACCUGAGAGGGUGAUCGGCCACACUGGAACUGAGACACGGUCCAGACUCCUCCGGGAGGAAGCAGUAGGGAAUCUUCAGCAAUGGGCGAAAGCCUGACGGAGAAACGCCGCGUGAGUGAUGAAGGUCUUCGGAUCGUAAAACUCUGUUAUUAGGGAAGAACAAAUGUGUAAGUAACUAUGCACGUCUUGACGGUACCUAAUCAGAAAGCCACGGCUAACUACGUG
rnacentral:rRNA from 1 species